rnacentral:rRNA from 1 species
AUGCAAAGAACUUUGAAAAGAGAGUUAAAGAGUACCUGAAAUUGCUGAAAAGGAAGCGAAGGAAACCAGUGCCGGGCCGAUCAUACUUCCCUCGCCACCUGUGGCUUGGGCGCUGUGGCCGGUCCAUCUGUUUGACUUGGUUGGGUCCUCUGGAAGGGCGCCGUCAGAGUUGAUGUCGGUUGCCAGCAUUGGACCUGACCGAGGGAGACGAAAUGGUUUUCUUUACCCCGUCUUGAAACACGGACCAAGGAGUCUAACAUAUGUGCGAGUACAGGGGUGUCAAACCCCGGUGCGCAAUGAAAGUGACAGUGGUUGGAUGUUUUCUGCACAAUCCGCCGGCCUCAAUCCCUCGGGAGAACGGUCUGAGUGUGAGCAUACAUGUUGGGACCCGAAAGAUGGUGAACUAUGCCUGAAUAGGGUGAAGCCAGGGGAAACUCUGGUGGAGGCUCGUAGCGAUUCUGACGUGCAAAUCGAUCGUCAAAUUUGGGUAUAGGGGCGAAAGACUAAUCGAACCAUCUAGUAGCUGGUUCCCUCCGAAAUUUCCCUCAGGAUAGCUGCGAUCGGAGUUCAAUUUUAUCA